rnacentral:RNase_P_RNA from 1 species
CGGAGUGGCCGGGUGAUCGCUCUUCGUUUUUAAGUCGGAACGCCGACUGCGGCGAGGGGAGGAAAGUCCGAGCUCCAUUGGGCAAGGUGGUUGCUAACGGCGACUGGGGGUAACCCUAAGGAAAGUGCCACAGAAAAUACACCGCCCCCUCACCCUUCGUAAAGGGUUAGCCCCUUUUCUACCCUCUCCCCGUGGAGAGGGUACCAUCUUAUUCCUCCCCUUCAAGGGCAACGUGCCCUGCGAGGGGAGAUUAGGUAGGGAUGGGGUGUGGGAGGUAAGGGUGAAAAGGGGAGGUAAGAGCUCACCGCUUCGGUGGCGACAUCGAAGGCAUGGUAAACCCCACCUGGAGCAAGACCAAAUAGGAUGGCAAGCGAGAGGCACCAUCUCUCUAUCCCACACCCCCUUUUGUGGGGGAGGGUUGGGGUGGGGGGUGUUUUUUUCUACGGGCGUCCCGUCCGGCGCCCUCGGGUCAGGUCGCUUAGAGAAAUGAUCAUCGCCCUGCAGUCGGCGUUCCGACCAAUCUUUUCGGUCGGAACGCCGACUGCAGGGUACAGAACUCGGCUUAUAAGCCACUCCGACCU